ACAGAGGGUGCAAGCGUUAAUCGGAAUUACUGGGCGUAAAGCGCGCGUAGGCGGUUUGUUAAGUCGGAUGUGAAAUCCCUGGGCUCAACCUAGGCACUGCAUCCGAUACUGGCUAACUAGAGUGUGGGAGAGGAAGGUAGAAUUCCAGGUGUAGCGGUGAAAUGCGUAGAGAUCUGGAGGAAUACCGAUGGCGAAGGCAGCCUUCUGGCCUAACACUGACGCUGAGGUGCGAAAGCAUGGGGAGCAAACAGG
rnacentral:rRNA from 1 species